rnacentral:ncRNA from 1 species
AACUCAAUAUAGCAAACCGCUUGAAAAGGCGGGACGCAAAGCCAUGGGUCUAAAGAUUACAUCUAUGAUUGCCAGGUUGCAGCC